AGCGGGAGGGAAAGAAACUAACAAGGAUUACMUCCUAGUAACGGCGAGCGAACCGGGAAUAGCCCAACUUGAAAAUCUCCCUUUGGAGAAUUGUAGUCUAGAGAAGCGCCCUCAUGGACUGGCGGAGCUCAAUUCGGAUCGAAUGCCGAGUCAGAGAGGGUGAUAACCCCGUCGGCUCUUGCUUAGUCCUACCACGAGGUGCUUUCCACGAGUCGGGUUGUUUGGGAAUGCAGCCCUAAUUUGGAGGUAAAUCCCUUCUAAGGCUAAAUACUGCGAGGAGACCGAUAGCGAACAAGUACCGUGAGGGAAAGAUGAAAAGAACUUUGAAAAGAGAGUUAAAAGUGCUUGAAAUUGUUGAGAGGGAAGCGAUAGGCGCUCGUGGGUGCGCCCAGGCUUAAGCGGUCCUAACGGUCCGUUGAAUGUGCUGGGUGCUGGUCAGAAUGGGUUUGUUUGGCGGGACAAGAGUCGGGUCCUUAAGGUAACCCGGCCCAUGCCGCCGAACGGACCAAGGUGUAAACGGCGCUCUGUCCUUCGGGAACUGCGUCGUAAAGAUUCUGGCAGAAGAGCGUCUAUCGACCCGUCUUGAAACACGGACCAAGGAGUCUAACAUGCAUGUGAGUUGGCGGGUGGAAAACCCGUAAGCGCAAGUAACCUGACUGGUGGGAUGGCCUGUGCCUGCACCAUCGACCGACCAUGCUGCUUCUGCGAAAGGUUUGAGUGCGAACAUGCCUGUUGGGACCCGAAAGAUGGUGAACUAUGCCUGAGCAGGGUGAAGCCAGAGGAAACUCUGGUGGAGGCUCGUAGAUGUGCUGACGUGCAAAUCGCUUUUCAGACUUGGGUAUAGCGGGCGAAAGACUAAUCGCCC
rnacentral:rRNA from 1 species